rnacentral:misc_RNA from 1 species
AGUCGUAACAAGGUUUCCGUAGGUGAACCUGCGGAAGGAUCAUUAAAGAAUUAGGCUUCGCGGCCAAGUUCUCACCCUUUGUAUAUCGAAACCAUGUUGCUUUGGCAGGCCCCUGCAUUUCUCGGGCCUGCCAGAGGUUAUAAACCCUAGAAUCUCUGCUGUCUGAGUACUAUACAAUAGUUAAAA